CGCAAAUCGAAACGUCGUUCAUCCUGGAAGUGGAUGAGUGUUCUAGGUACGUGCUGAUAAUUGAUGAGGAAUGAUUCGAUUUUUUGGGGGGGUAACCUGAGAUCGAGUCUGUCCUAAAUUUCGGACAAAUUUAAAGCGUGCACUCAAAUCACCGACGCUCAUCACGAAGUCUUUCUUUUCAAGUGCACAGCUAAUGUUAGCUACUUAACUAACCUAAUGCUAGGUAGCUUUUGGGGUCUUAUUAAUAUUUAAAUAGUGUGAAAACGUGUACAAUUUGACCAACGGCGACACAAUGGUAAGCCUAAUCAGAAGAAUAAAAACGUACCUAGCAGCGACCCCUGAGAUCACCACCACCAUUAUGUAAGAAUAUAGAUAAGGAACAAGUCAAACUUUGGAUAUUUCAGACAUCAGAACGGCUUCAAAAGCUCCCACUUGUGAAUAUGAGCAACUCAUACAGUGUUUAUCUUAAUUCUUCUUUUUUUUUUUGCCAAAUAGAAAUUUAUUCUCGAAUUAUGCCCUAUAUAACACUGUACACUUCAUAUCUGGAUACUCGCAUGGCACUAACGGCUAAAAUCAAACGCUAAAAUAUUAGCUAAACGGAAAUAACAGAUCGGCACGUGGUACCUCCUCCCCUCAGGAACGACCUGUUUUACAACCCGAAAUAUUUUUUUAACGCUAAAAAUGUCCAUCGUUCCACUCUUGAUUCCUCAGCGUUUCUAGUACAUAUUAACCGAACGCGAUUUUCUCAGAGUUCCGCAAAACGUUACGCAACCUCUACGACGUAAACGCAUAACCUUCCUAACGAGCACGGGUGGGACGUGUAAUAUCAGCACACACUUAGUUCUCUUAGAAAAAUGACAAAGAAAUUACAGUACAGUUUCAGUUGGAAGACAGUUCCUGACAAUUAAUAUCAAACAUACCAAAAAUGCAACGUUGGUAGAAAUAAACAGAACGUUCACACACAUACCGAACCGAGCGUUCCCCAGUCCAAGUAGUAUCCCGACCCGAGAUCAGACGGAUCAGAUCGGGCGUUUUCAGAGAGGUAUCGCUGUAAGCGUGUUGAGAAUUUUCACUACACACAAAGUGGUGCACUGAGGAACAAUUCAAGCAAAAAAAAAAAAAAAGAAAAAGAAAAGAAAGAAAGAAAGAAAUUAAACGCACAGUGUCUCUCGUCUGUCUAAA
ensembl:lncRNA